CCUAUGGACCUGUGUGUGUGUGUGUGUGUGUGUCCAAGCCUCCUGCUUCCAUACUACUUUGUCUCAGGUGUUUAAAUCUCAGGCUGCUGAAGUAUGCUGGCACUGGUCACACAACCCAUUGCUUUAAACACACUCUGCUCUCUCUUUGCCAAGCGUGUGUGUGUGUGUGUUUUGUUGUUCCAGGUGGCAGCCGAAGGUCAUGGCCCGAUCCAUUAGCCAUGUAAAGACAAACGUGAUAUCCUGCUUUGAGAACAUGCUGUCACAAAGCAGCUUCACUGGAAUCCAGAUAUAGAUUUAGAUACCUACUGAAUAAUCCAGAUGUGACAGUGGUGAAGAGAAACUCCAUGAGAUGACCUUGAGAGGAACCGAACUCAAAAGGGAACCUCUUCUGGACCCUCAAAGAACCCCUGAAGAACCCCUGAGAAGAGCCCAUUUGGAUUCCAUUUGGAUUGCUCACCACCAUUACUACAAGUCAACAAACUCCCUGUACUAUGGAGAAAACAAGCACCAAGAUAAGAGACUACAAUGUGGAUUCACAUUUAAAAAAUAAUCUGCAUAUCUGGGUUUUAUAUUUACUUUAAAAAAAUAAUAAUUUGAAGAAAAUGAAAAAUAGGAGAAUAAACAGAAUAGAAAGUUAGGUCUCUGUAUAACGAGUAUUCCAUUACUUUGAUUAUUACUCAUGCUCACUCUUCGCUAGCAAAAAGUAAUUAAAAAACAAACAAACAGCUAAAUUAACAAAUAAAACAAUUAACCAUUUAAAUGAUGAGGAUUUUAAGUAGAAAUAAAUCUGACAGAAACCUGGCCUGGGUCCAUGGAACCGAUCAAGUACAGAGGGUUAUUUGGUUAUUUGGACCGUGUGUUUACAUCUGAUCUCUCUUUCUCGGUUAAAUUAUAUACAUUUCUAAUGGCUACACAUGGAGCAAGGAGUAAUGUGUGAGUGUAUGUGUAGAGUGUGCAGAUUAUGUGUGUGUGUGUGCACGUGUGUGUGUGUGUGUGUAUAUGUGUGUGUAUGCUCUCAAAGGCUUUGCACUGCUAAACUCAUUAGUAAACAUUACCUGCUAAGAAAAUACUCCACUACUCUAAUUGGCCUAUUUAGGGCUGCAGGUGGUCACGGAGUCUGAGUUCAGCACGCCCUGGACUUUUUUAACACAUACCCCCUCACACGCACUCACACACACUCAAGAAACCAAGGAGCUUUCAUCACCCCUCUAUGUCUUCAUCGGACGUCUCAAGCUGUCAGUCACUAAUCUCUCAGCUUGGAGCUCAAUGUGCACCCGGUUUCCUCGUUUCCUCCGUUUCCUCCAACUUUCCAUCUUUCUAUUGAUUUCACACAAGUUAUUCAUCGUCAGCAUCCUGUUUUUCAGUUGGAAACAAGAUUUACAGUUACGUAAGUAAGACCAAACUGCUUAGUCUAACACGUUCCUUUAAUUAGCAUCAUCUGUGGAGUUAA